UACGUAGGGGGCGAGCGUUGUCCGGAAUUAUUGGGCGUAAAGGGCUCGUAGGCGGCCAACUAAGUCAGACGUGAAAUCCCUCGGCUUAACCGGGGAACUGCGUCUGAUACUGGAUGGCUUGAGUUUGGGAGAGGGAUGCGGAAUUCCAGGUGUAGCGGUGAAAUGCGUAGAUAUCUGGAGGAACACCGGUGGCGAAGGCGGCAUCCUGGGCCAACACUGGCGCUGAGUGAGCGAAAGCCAGGGGAGCAAACGGG
rnacentral:rRNA from 1 species